UCCUCAGUUGUUUAGCGGUAUAAUACUCGCCUGUCACGCGGGCAGCCCGGGUACGAUUCCCGGCUGAUGCA